rnacentral:rRNA from 1 species
GAUGAACGCUGGCGGCGUGCCUAAUACAUGCAAGUCGAGCGAACGGACGAGAAGCUUGCUUCUCUGAUGUUAGCGGCGGACGGGUGAGUAACACGUGGAUAACCUACCUAUAAGACUGGGAUAACUUCGGGAAACCGGAGCUAAUACCGGAGAAUAUUUUGAACCGCAUGGUGCAAAAGUGAAAGACGGUGGUGGUGUCACUUAUAGAGGGAUCCGCGCUGCAUUAGCUAGUUGGUCAGGUAACGGCUUACCAAGGCAACGAGGCAUAGCAGACCGGAGAGGGUGAUCGGCCACCUUGGAGCUGAGCCACGGUCCAGACUCCUACGGGAGGCAGCAGUCGGGAAUCUUCCGCAAUGGGCGAAAGCCUGACGGAGCAACGCCGCGUGAGUGAUGACGGUCUUCGGAUCGUAAAACUCUGUUAUUAGGGAAGAACAUAUGUGUACGUAACUGUGCACAUCUUGACGGUACCUAAUCAGAAAGCCACGGCUAACUACGUG